AUUGAACGCUGGCGGCAGGCCUAACACAUGCAAGUCGAGCGGAUGAAGGGAGCUUGCUCCUGGAUUCAGCGGCGGACGGGUGAGUAAUGCCUAGGAAUCUGCCUGGUAGUGGGGGCUAACGUCCGGAAACGGGCGCUAAUACCGCAUACGUCCUGAGGUAGAACGUGGGGGAUCUUCGGACCUCACGCUAUCAGAUGAGCCUAGGUCGGAUUAGCUAGUUGGUGGGGUAAAGGCCUACCAAGGCGACGAUCCGUAACUGGUCUGAGAGGAUGAUCAGUCACACUGGAACUGAGACACGGUCCAGACUCCUACGGGAGGCAGCAGUGGGGAAUAUUGGACAAUGGGCGAAAGCCUGAUCCAGCCAUGCCGCGUGUGUGAAGAAGGUCUUCGGAUUGUAAAGCACUUUAAGUUGGGAGGAAGGGCAGUAAGUUAAUACCUUGCUGUUUUGACGUUACCAACAGAAUAAGCACCGGCUAACUUCGUG
rnacentral:rRNA from 1 species